AACAGGAUUAGAUACCCUGGUAGUCCACGCUGUAAACGAUGUCGACUUGGAGGUUGUUCCCUUGAGGAGUGGCUUCCGGAGCUAACGCGUUAAGUCGACCGCCUGGGGAGUACGGCCGCAAGGUUAAAACUCAAAUGAAUUGACGGGGGCCCGCACAAGCGGUGGAGCAUGUGGUUUAAUUCGAUGCACCGCGAAGAACCUUACCUACUCUUGACAUCCAGAGAACUUAGCAGAGAUGCUUUGGUGCCUUCGGGAACUCUGAGGCAGGUGCUGCAUGGCUGUCGUCAGCUCGUGUUGUGAAAUGUUGGGUUAAGUCCCGCAACGAGCGCAACCCUUAUCCUUUGUUGCCAGCGGUCCGGCCGGGAACUCAAACGAGACUGCCAGUGAUAAACUGGAGGAAGGUGGGGAUGACGUCAAGUCAUCAUGGCCCUUACGAGUAGGGCUACACACGUGCUACAAUGGCAUAUACAAAGAGAAGCGACCUCGCGAGAGCAAGCGGACCUCAUAAAGUAUGUCGUAGUCCGGAUUGGAGUCUGCAACUCGACUCCAUGAAGUCGGAAUCGCUAGUAAUCGUGGAUCAGAAUGCCACGGUGAAUACGUUCCCGGGCCUUGUACACACCGCCCGUCACACCAUGGGAGUGGGUUGCAAAAGAAGUAGGUAGCUCAACCUUCGGGAGGGCGCUUACCACUUUGUGAUUCAUGACUGGGGUGAAGUCGUAACAAGGUAACC
rnacentral:rRNA from 1 species